CUUAACACAUGCAAGUCGAGGGGCAGCAUGACCUAGCAAUAGGUUGAUGGCGACCGGCGCACGGGUGAGUAACACGUAUCCAACCUACCGGUUAUUCCGGGAUAGCCUUUCGAAAGAAAGAUUAAUACCGGAUAGUAUAACGAGAAGGCAUCUUUUUGUUAUUAAAGAAUUUCGAUAACCGAUGGGGAUGCGUUCCAUUAGUUUGUUGGCGGGGUAACGGCCCACCAAGACAUCGAUGGAUAGGGGUUCUGAGAGGAAGGUCCCCCACAUUGGAACUGAGACACGGUCCAAACUCCUACGGGAGGCAGCAGUGAGGAAUAUUGGUCAAUGGACGAGAGUCUGAACCAGCCAAGUAGCGUGAAGGAUGACUGCCCUAUGGGUUGUAAACUUCUUUUAUAUGGGAAUAAAGUGAGCCACGUGUGGCUUUUUGUAUGUACCAUACGAAUAAGGAUCGGCUAACUCCGUGCCAGCAGCCGCGGUAAUACGGAGGAUCCGAGCGUUAUCCGGAUUUAUUGGGUUUAAAGGGAGCGUAGGCGGACUAUUAAGUCAGCUGUGAAAGUUUGCGGCUCAACCGUAAAAUUGCAGUUGAUACUGGUCGUCUUGAGUGCAGUAGAGGUAGGCGGAAUUCGUGGUGUAGCGGUGAAAUGCUUAGAUAUCACGAAGAGCUCCGAUUGCGAAGGCAGCUUACUGG
rnacentral:rRNA from 1 species